CAGCAAAUUUGGAAGAUUUUGGAUCAGAUUUGCAUCAAAAUACAAUAGGCACAUAUUCGAACGCAGUCAAUUUAGCACCUUUCGGGUAGAAACUUGUGAUGAGACCACCACUAAUGAUCUUAGAAGGCCCAAAACCCAUGGGAUAGUUUCGGCACCAUCCAAUUCGACCGGUAUCAAAACCUCGAAUUUCAUACAAUUUAUGAUCCUCCAAACCUACACAAUAAGCUACAUAGAUUGGAUAUUUUUAUUGCCCAUGACGAGACGAUGCUUUGACAGAAUAAUCAACUUGAUCGAAUGCCAGACACACCUCAAAUCGCCCCAAACGUGAACUCCCAACUAGCUGCGAAAACUCAAAUUUCGACUGCUACCGAUCUCAUCCCCGAUAGCACGCCUCAACACCAUGUUAGCAUGAAAUUCUGCAACCCUAUAAAAAAUCAACAAAUUCUGAGUUUGGAGGUCAGUGUGCUGCCAAACGCAACCACCGAACCGUCGACGGCGGCUCCUUAACAACGAUCCGACACUUUUUUAGUAGAAUGUAGUCCCAAUUAAUCUGUACACAAUUUCAUCAUCGAAUUUGGCGACUGAGGUCUCAACGGUGCCCAGUCAAUAGAGGUAUGAUAACUUUUGUUGUAUGCAAACUCAAUCAAGGGAAAUUUUCUUCCAAUGUCCCCCAAACUGAAGGAUAUAAGUUUGAAGCAUAUUCUUCAAUAUUUGAAUUGUUCGCUCAGACUGUUCAUCUGUCUGAGGAUGGAAAGCCGUAUUAGAUUUUUCCUUAGUUCGCAUAGUUUGGUGUAAGAUUUUUCAGAAGUUCGAUGUGAACUUUGGAUAUAUUUGAUACGAUUGAAAUGGGGCACACUAUGUAACCUUACUAUCUUAU
rnacentral:lncRNA from 1 species